CAGGUCCGUAGCGUUCCCCAGGGCAGCGGCCACUUUUCCUGGCACAUGGCGGGCCCUCUCUGAAUGUUGGGGUGGUGAAUGGGCAGCCUGGAGGCCCUGGGUGGGGUCUCCUUGGUUUAAGUCUGACAGUUGUCAUGCCACUUUGGCCACCAACCUUUCUUUCUUCUCUCCUUUCUUUCUUUUUUCUCUUUCUUUCUCUCUUUGCCUCUCUCGCUCUUUCUUUUUUCCUCCCUUUUUCUUUCACCACACCUGCUGCAUAUGGAGGUUCUCAGGCUAGGGGUUGAAUGGGAGCUACAGCUGCUGGGACACACCACAGCCACAGUAUCGCCAGAUCCUUAGCCCUUUGAGUGAGGCCAGGGAUUGAACCAGAAUCCUCAUGGAUCCUAGUUAGGUUCCUUAACCGCUAAGCCACGACGGGAACUCCCAACCUUUCUUACUUCAUUUGUUCCAUUUGGCUCCAAAUGGCCUUCAGCUUCUUAAAAAAAAGAGUCAGAUCUCCCCCCACCCCCAAGAGGGUGACUUGUCUAUCCCGCUGCCUCUCCAUUUCUGGUUUCCUCUUAACUAAAAAAUAUAUGUUUUUCGCUUUUUUUUUUUUUUUGGCCAUCCCAUGGCCCAUGGAAUUCCUGGGCUAGGGAUCACUUCUGAGCCACAGCUGUGACCUAUUGCUGCACCUGCGACAAUGCCGGAUCCCCAGCCCACCGUACUGGGCAUAUCCCGGUGCUCCAGAGACACAGCGUUGCGUCACAGCGGGAACUCAUGCAUUUGCGUUUAGCACUGGUUCCUCACCAUGGUUGCACGUUGUAUAUCAGCUUGGGGAACUUUAAGAAAUGCCAGCACUUGGACCAGCCACAAAGGAUGGGCCCCGUUGGUCCUGGAGGCUGCAGUGGCUCCCCGAGGGGCCUGCCACAGCCGUGGCCGCUGCGGGAAGCCCUGGGAGGGAAGCUGCUGAGCCCGCGGGCCACCCAAGCUGGAGAUGCCCAUCCGUAGGUCAGCCCGAGGCAAGGCCACCCCACGCUGGGACAUCUCGGGGCCUGGUGUCAGUUCGUGUUAGCCGUGAGGGAGAAACAGGCCCAUGGGUAUUGUCUCUCUGCCGACAUUUGCCGCGUGGAUGCCCAGGGAGCUGGCUUUGGUUUGCCGGGCGGGGCCGCCAGGCAGCGGUGGAAAGCUGGGUUUGAACCCAUUUCCUGAACACCUGCCCCAGCUCUGGACACACCCUGCUUGCUCCCCCACUCCCUGUCCUAAGAGCGAGAGCAGAUCCCCAGGCAUCUGCGAGGCAGUGCUACCUUUGCCACCCUCGUCGUGUCGCGGGAGGCUGGGCCACUGUAGAUGGGGCGGGGACCUUUUUAGGCUGCAGUCUAGGGGACAAAUGCAGGCAGGGCCGAUGGCACCCAGACCCAGGCAGCUAGGGAGAAGAGGCGACCCAUUUCCAAAAAUAGCCCAUCCGCUGUCAGGGGGGCAUCUCUUUGUCUUCCCGAAUGUGUCUCUCCAUCUGCUCCGGGUUGUAAGGCAAGAGGGAGGCACUCUUGUCCUGAAAUCGGAGGCUCCGGGCCCCCCCCCACCCCACCUCCCCCGCCCCCCACAAGGGCCUGAUUGUGUGACCGCCCUGAAUGCGCCCGCCUGUCACGGGCACCGGCUCCUCUCCCUAAUGAGCUCGCUCUGGGAGUGGCCCUUUGUGGCGGGUUCCGGCCACGCUGCCCGUGCCAGGGCUCUCCGAAGGCUCGAUUUCCCGGCCGCCUCGCAUCUCUCCCAGCUGAUGGGACAAUGGGAGGCGCCCGCCCUGCCCUGUCUCCCUUUUUCUGUAUUUUCUGGAAUGUGCACACAGCACUUUGAUAUGGAGCAGAAAAGGCAACAGCGAGGUUCUCCCACUUUCAGCGCCUCCUGUCCCGGCCCGGGUUGCGGGGGGGCCUCCCUGCUCGCACCCUCUUCCCGGUCCCUCCUGGGGGACCUCUCUCCACCAUUGUCUCCCUCCUCUUGUUCCUUUUGGGUCUCUCCUGGCUCCUUCCCCUGCAGACAGGCUCAUGUUUCUCGUCCAAAGCAACAAACAAAAUCUCCCCUCUGUCUUCCUGGCCUGGGCCCCCUCCCUUCCCCACCCAGUUUGGCCAGUGGCCUCUGCUCACCCUGACCUCUGGGUGGUGUUUGAUGCCCACGCUGGGCUUGUCGUCUUAGGGCAGGAUGCUGGUCCCCUCCCACCCCCCUGACAGCAGCGUCUCUUCUGUCUCCCGUCUCCGGCCAAUCGGAGUUAGAGCCGCUGGCCUGCACCACAGCCACAGAAACUCGGGAUCUAAGCCAUGUCUGCAACCUUCACCACAGCUCACAGCAACGCUGGAUCCUUAACCCAUUGAGCAAGACCAGGGAUCAAACCUGCAUCCUCAUGGAUGCUAGUCGGAUUCGUUUCUGCUGAGCCAUGAUGGGAAUUUCUGUUUCAGUUCAAUUUAAUCAGUUUCUGAGCUGCACGUAGCCCCCUUCCUUGCAAGUGUUUCACAUCCUGUUGAUAAUGCCAAAAAACAAACAAACAAACAAACAAACAAAAACAUCUCCAUGAUUCCGGAGAGAUCUGAGCCACACUGAUCAGGACACCCCCUCACUGGGCCAUGCCCAGCACAGGAGGGAGCUCCGUGUCUGAGCAUGGUGUCAUGGGCUCGGUCCCUCCCUGCCAGGCUCCACGACCCCAGGAUCUGCUCGCCUGCUCGCUCGGCAGGCCCUUGGGCUGCCUCCUAUCUCCUGCGCCUCUGCAAUCCCAGCCUUCCUGUGAGGCUUAGGUCACAGCAGGAGUGACCAGCAGCCUAGAACUCGGCGUCUGCAGGAGUCUCGAACCAGGCUUGCGGCAGUUGCCCUGCAGCCAUGGAUGCCACUUCCGCCGGUGGCCUCGUGGUGGGUCCACAUGUCCAUGUAGAAAACCCAGGACCCAGAGGCCGCAGGGCUCCGACGGCCCCAGAAGUCCCCCCUGCCCCCGCAGAGCCCAGCCCCUGCUCCUUAUCCUGAGAAUGAGGCCGAGAGGCCUGCGGGUUCAGGAAACAAAGAAAGUGGCCUUUCAGAAGGGAGGUAGGGUUGUGGGAAUGGACACAGGGCCUCCUCCCCCCCCCUGCUUCCUACCUCCCCUCCACGUGGGGCGCAUCCCGAGCACGGUCCCCCUCCUGCCCUCCGUGUCGUGGGUUCUACAUGGCGGUGGCUGUGAUGGGCAGUGGGCCUUUCUUGCCGUCUCGGGGUUAAAUGUGCGGCCUGGGUCCAGCUGCAGCCGGUGCGCCAGCAGGUCCCUGGCGGAUGAAGCCAUUACGCACCACACCUGGGGCUCUGGCCCUGGGCUUGGCCCUGCUGAUUGCUGCCCCUCCUUGUGCCCUUGGCCUUGAGCCCACUGGGGGGCGAGGGGAGGGUGUUGAGUGGGGGGAUAUCAGGGCCACUGUUGAGAUCCCAGUGGGACGGCUCCCUCAUGCCCCCUCCCCCACCUCCUGCAAGGGCCUAAUGUUCGGGCUUCGCUGACCUUGGGGGGCCAGGAAGGUCCCAGGAGAGCCCCUCGUAAGUCUUCUUACCCUAGACAUGCUGUAGAUGGUGGUAGGAGCCUUGGUGGGCUGGGGGAUCUUUGAUGUCAGCUCCCUGGCACCCCCACAACCUGCUGGGUCCCCCAUUCUCCUGCCGCUCCGCCUCCUCUCCUGAGGGCAUUUCCUGGCCUGUGGGAGCAGGUUUCCCAUGCGCCCACCUGCACCCCCGCUGCAGCCUCCCGCCUGCCCUGGGGAUGCUCCCUGCCUCCCGCCCUGGAGGGUGGUCCCCAGCCUGGUGCUGUUUCAUCUCACCCCUCCCCUGCAUGGUCUUCUAUCCCUGGGCACCACGUUAAGACGUAUUCCCCCAGUGCCUGCCUGGCUGUGGGAGUGUGAUCGGCUCCCAGGUGCGUGGGGCCGAACGUCGUGGGUGACGCUGGAUGAAAAGACCCCUUGUUUCUGGUGCAACCUGAACUCUUGAGCAGGAAAGUGGCUGUGGGCGAGUGGCCGCCCCCUGAGUCUGCCCUCUGAAAAUGGGGCACUGCCAGGGGUCCCGGGACCUCCUGGCCUGGGGCUUAAUGUGGGGGGUUGUGACAGGGGAGAGACCCCUGGGCCAGCUCAGCCUCCUCUGGCCAUUCGGCAGUCCCUGCUGCCUUCAAGGCCAGCCGUGCCCUCUGCUGGGCAGACUGUCAGUGGACACAGGCUCAGUGGGCAUGACCGGCUUUGGGGAACCCUGGACCCCCAACGUGACCGUGCACAAUUCCUCCCCUACCCUCCUCGCUCCUUUCCUACCACACCUGCGGCAUAUGGAAGUUCCCAGGCUAGGGAUCAAAUGAGAACUACAGCUGCUGGAGUUCCCAUCAUUGCGCAGUGGUUAGUGAAUCUGACUGGGAACCAUGAGGUUGUGGGUUCGAUCCCUGAAUUUGCUCAGUGGGUUAAGGAUCUGGCAUUGCCGUGAGCUGUGGUGUAGGUUGCAGACGAGGUUUGGAUCUGGCAUUCCUCUGACUGUGGUGUAGGCCGGCAGCCGCAGCCCUGAUUUCAAUGCCUAGCCUGGGAAACUCCAUGUGCCACAGAUGUGGCCCUUAAAAAGUUGAGUUGGCCUCUCAUUCCUACACCCAUAUCUUGUUUGGUUUCCUCAUUUAUUAAAAGGCAGACCACUUGGAGUUCCCGUCGUGGCACAGUGGUUAACGAAUCCAACUAGGAACCAUGAGGUUGCAGGUUCGAUCCCUGCUCUUGCUCAGUGGGUUAAGGACCCGGCGUUGCUGUGAGCUGUGGUGUAGGUCGCAGAUGUGGCUUGGAUCUGGUGUUGCUGUGGCUGUGGUGUAGGCCGUCGGCUAUGGCUCUGAUUAGACCCCUAGCCUGGGAACCUCCAUAUGCUGUGGGAGCGGCCCUAGAAAAG
ensembl:lncRNA